rnacentral:rRNA from 1 species
UACGUAGGGUGCGAGCGUUAAUCGGAAUUACUGGGCGUAAAGAGUGCGCAGGCGGUUUUGCAAGACCGAUGUGAAAUCCCCGGGCUUAACCUGGGAACUGCAUUGGUGACUGCAAGGCUAGAGUGUGUCAGAGGGAGGUGGAACUCCGCGUGUAGCGGUGAAAUGCGUAGAUAUGCGGAAGAACACCGAUGGCGAAGGCAGCCUCCUGGGAUAACACUGACGCUGAUGCGCGAAAGCGUGGGGAGCAAACAGG